AGUGAACGCUGGCGGUAGGCCUAACACAUGCAAGUCGAACGGCAGCACAGUAAGAGCUUGCUCUUACGGGUGGCGAGUGGCGGGCGGGUGAGGAAUACAUCGGAGUCUACUUUUUCGUGGGGGAUAACGUAGGGAAACUUACGCUAAUACCGCAUACGACCUACGGGUGAAAGCAGGGGAUCUUCGGCCCUUGCGCGAUUGAAUGAGCCGAUGUCGGAUUAGCUAGUUGGCGGGGUAAAGGCCCACCAAGGCGACGAUCCGUAGCUGGUCUGAGAGGAUGAUCAGCCACACUGGAACUGAGACACGGUCCAGACUCCUACGGGAGGCAGCAGUGGGGAAUAUUGGACAAUGGGCGCAAGCCUGAUCCAGCCAUACCGCGUGGGUGAAGAAGGCCUUCGGGUUGUAAAGCCCUUUUGUUUGGGAAGAAAAGCAGCAGGUUAAUACCCCGCUGUUCUGACGGUACCCAAAGAAUAAGCACCGGCUAACUUCGUG
rnacentral:rRNA from 1 species